GCCAGGCAUGGUUGUACGUGCCUGUAGUCCUAGCUACUCUCGAGGCUGAGGCCAGAGGAUUGCUUAAAGCCAGGAGUUCCGGGCUGAAGUGCACUAUGCCGAUGGGUGUACGCACUAAGUGACAAUCAAUAUGGUGACCUUGGAGAGUAGGGGACCACCAGGUGAUACACCAACUCAGGCUGGAAACAGAGCAGGUCAAAACUCCCUUGCUGAUCAGUAGUGGAAUGACACCUGUGAAUAGCCACUGCUUUGCAGCCUAAGCAACACAGUAAGACCCUGUGUCUU
rfam:Otolemur garnettii contig026017, whole genome shotgun sequence.